UACGGAGGAUGCGAGCGUUAUCCGGAUUUACUGGGUGUAAAGGGAGCGUAGACGGCGGGGCAAGUCUGGAGUGAAAGGCCGGGGCCCAACCCCGGGACCGCUCUGGAAACUGCCCGGCUGGAGUGCCGGAGGGGCAAGCGGAAUUCCUAGUGUAGCGGUGAAAUGCGUAGAUAUUAGGAGGAACACCGGUGGCGAAGGCGGCUUGCUGGACGGUAACUGACGUUGAGGCUCGAAAGCGUGGGGAGCAAAAAGG
rnacentral:rRNA from 1 species